rnacentral:rRNA from 1 species
UACGAAGGGGGCUAGCGUUGCUCGGAAUCACUGGGCGUAAAGCGCACGUAGGCGGCUUUCUAAGUCAGGGGUGAAAUCCUGGAGCUCAACUCCAGAACUGCCUUUGAUACUGGAGAGCUUGAGUCCGGGAGAGGUGAGUGGAAUUCCUGGUGUAGCGGUGAAAUGCGCAGAUAUCAGGAAGAACACCCGUGGCGAAGGCGGCUCUCUGGGACGGUACUGACGCUGAGACGCGAAAGCGUGGGGAGCGAACAGG